AGCUUUAUGCAGUAGCAGUAUCAUAGGCAAUGAGGUUUACCCGAAGAGUGAUUAUUGCUAGUUGAAAAGCAGACAGAAGGGUGAUGUCAUUGUCAUUUGCUUAUUGCUUUGCCAUUUUGAGUAUUUUUCUAUAU
rnacentral:snRNA from 1 species